CAAUGUUACAGCUCUUUUAACAUUUGUCUAGCAGGGGGCCAGC
ensembl:snRNA U7 U7 small nuclear RNA